GUCUUUCUCCCUCCUUCCACUCACCCUGGCGAGGAAAUGACCUAAGAGGAAGCCUCCGGCUGUGCAAACAAGGGGGAAGGGGGGGGGGAAACGCACCCCACUCAGCAGCUGAGUUUUAGGAGUUGCCGUCGGACCCCAAAGUGAGUGAAAAGCCAGAGCGGCCUGCCUGCCGGAGGGACGCGCGACAGCUGCUCGGGUCGGGUCAGCUGGGCGCUUCUGCCGGUAUCGGGGGGCCGCCGGGGCCAAUAGCCGAAGGAUGCCCAUCCUGCACUUGCACUCCAUGCUUGAGCUGCUGCCUUUCUUGCUGCUGCUGCUGCUCUUUUUGGUGGUGGGCUUUAUUCUGAUAUACAUCCAGCGACCCGAGCCGGAUCCCAAAAAGGUUUAGGGAUCCCGGGGGCGUUUUCCCGCGGCAAGAUGCCGGCGCGUCCCUGCUGACAUCGGAGGCGUGAAAGGCGAGAGAGCAGUGCCAUUGUAACGUUGAAUGGUCACUAGAUGAACUGUUGUAAGUCGAGGACGACCUGUAGAGCCAUCCACCCACACUCAAAGUCUUUGUGGUUGCUUUGUGGGACUGUGUCAACCAAUGUUUUAUGGAACAAUCUCAGAACAAUCAGCAGCCAUACUGACUGUUGACCGCUGUGCAGAGAAUAAUUCAUCUUGAAACCUAACUAGAGGUCAAAUGCUGUGAAUAGGAGAAAGGUUGGUAUGACUGCUCUGGUAUGUGUAUGUAACUGACUUAUCAGUUGGGAAUUCUCCAUGCAAUAACAAAGCUGGCUGUGCUCUCCCAUUAAUAGCAUUGCUGUAUAAUGACAGCAGUUGUCGCAAAAAGGGAGUUGUCAUACCCUUUAGUAAGUUCAUGGCAGUGCAUAUUGAUUGUCUAUACAUCGGGACUGUCAAACUUGCGGCCCAGAGGACAGAUGCGUCAUGCGCUGGCCACGCCCAUACCUGAUUUAGUGAAGGGGGAAAUGGUCCCAAUACGUCUUGUGACGCCGCCAUGAUGCAGCAAGUUUGACACCCCUGCUGUAUAUAGAGGCUUCUGUACCUCUAGCCAGUUCACCCAUUUUACACAAGUAAGUUUUUUAUUUUAUCUUUUGUUUGAUUGAUUGCCUGCCUUUUUAUUCAAGCAACACACCAACAGCUAGGUAUCACACUAGACUCUACACACCUAAACUCUGUUUUUCCAUACAGAGACAAUAGUAAAGCAAUAGAUUCCUGUGAGAGAGACUGCCUUCCAUAAAGUAAAAAAUUGAGGCAAGCCCCCAAACCACUCAGAAACUCAAUUCAGGGCACUAGUUUGAAGAUUUCCAUGGUCUGAGGGUCUGCCUGACUCCUUAUGCAUUUCUUUAUAUAUUGACAAGUGACCCCUCGCAGAUUCUGAAAAACAGAGAUCACCAUAAGAAUGCCUCAGUUACAGAAAGGCUUGGUGUCUCUUUGAUUAUAUCUUGUUGCUUAAUUUAUUUAUUUUCUCAAACCUUUGGAUUCUUUAAAAAUCUGUUUUAUUUUUGCUAAGGAAUUCAUACUCUGCUUUUCAUCUCCUGUUUCAAAUGAUGACUUUUUUAAAUUAUGGACUUUUUUUGGGAAGCCAUUUGAAAAAUGGUUUAUUAGUAAUUCAGUAUAAUUAUUUAUGUUUAAUAAUAGCUGCUAUGAAGCAUAAAAACUAAAGAAUAUUAACAACAGUGCUUUUUAAAAUAAUUGCUGUGUUUUGAUGAUACCAUAAAGCUAUCCAAAAGCAGACCUUUGAAUACUGCCUCCAACUAUUCCUUUUUGGAAUUGAGUUCACUGAAUUAGACUGUAAUUUGUUUAAUUCAUACUUUGAAUAUGUUCCAUUUAUCUCGGUUCAUGCAACAUACUAAGCCAGAACACCCAUAUUAUGGCUUAGUGUGGUGUGUGUCUUCCUGUGCUAUAGGACCUCCCUAUUUUUCUCAGUUCACUGGUAGCAAACCUCGCAGGAUUUUCUUAUCACAUUACUGAAAAUCAAGAAGGCUCAAGCAGAGCAUCUCAUACUAUGAAGCUGUGAAUUCCUGGGUGAAUCUGGGGGAGUUUACUUUUGUCUUUUUUAGGCUUGCACAAGAAAAUGCUUUUCCAGAGAGAAUACAAGUGUGAUCUGAAAGACUUCCAACUUUGCACAUGUUACUCUAUCUCCAGCAGGUGGCAGAGGUUUACUUUUUCCUAGUGCUUUGUUUCCUUGAAGGGGGGCUUGGUGGGCAAGGGGUGAUCAGAGUUAUAAGUAUGAAAAAGAGAAAAUACUGGCUCGCCUUUCUUCUCUCGUUUUCUGUCUUUUCUUGGCCCAACUGGAAAAAGUCAGGGAGCAAGGCAGGCAAGGAAUACUCCAGUUGUUCCACAUUUGUCUUUAGUAGAAGGAGAUGUACAUGUUCAAUUAGUAUGAUAGGAGCGGAAAUAAGUGCAAUAAGUAUUAUAAAUUGCCUGUCAGCCUUUUGAGGGUGCUGACCCCAGCGUUCCUCCCUCUUAGCCAAACAGGCUGGAGCUGCUGAUAGUUGCAAUUUCGCAGCUUCUGAAGGAUUACACAGAUUCAUUUGUUUUGGGGAGUCAUGAUACCAGAAUAAUCGGAAAUUCCUGAUAUGAUACCCUAAUUCAAAAAUGUUAAAUGGGAAAUACAGCGGUUAGGUAGCAGAAGAGGUACAAGCCAAGGUUUCAUUAAGUUAAAGGAGAAGAAUUCAAGACAAGGAAACAUAUUGAUGGAUGGAUUUCAGGAAUGGUACUUUACAAAGAAUUGUUAACAUUUGGGGGGGGGGGAGUAAACAAAGAACAGAUGAAAUUGAACAAGGAGAGUGAAACAGAGAUACUUUAACUAGGGGCUUAGAGAUGUAGGGACCAAGAAGUAGACUGCUCAAGAGUCCCCAAUACCAGAUGUUAACGAGGAAGUUAAUAAAAUAUUAACACAAUUGCUCUUCUUCUUUGAAUAUACCUUCCAACCUCUAUUCU